CCAGCAGCUGCGGUAAUUCCAGCUCCAAUAGCGUAUAUUAAAGUUGUUGCGGUUAAAAAGCUCGUAGUUGGAUUUCUGCCGAGGACGACCGACCGACCCAAACGGGUUUGCGUCUGGUUAGACCGAGGCAUCCUCUUGGAAGACGUGUUCCACUUAACUGUGGUCACGGAGUCCAGGACUUUUACUUUGAGGAAAUUAGAGUGUUUCAAACAGGCGUUCGCCGUGAAUACAUUAGCAUGGAAUAAUAAGAUAGGACUUCGGUUCUAUUUUGUUGGUUUCUAGAACUGAAGUAAUGAUUAAUAGAGACAGGCGGGGCUAUUCGUAUUGCAUUGUCAGAGGUGAAAUUCUUGGAUUUCUGCAAGACGAACUACUGCGAAAGCAUUUAGCAAGGAUGGUUUCAUUAAUCAAGAACGAAAGU
rnacentral:rRNA from 1 species